GUCCAGUUGACGAAUCCGAACUAGGACGAAAUAUGUGUCCUGGAC
rnacentral:hammerhead_ribozyme from 1 species